CUGGCUAUAUAGAUCUGUAACCAUAUCAAUAUGAAAAUAUCUCAAUAUGAAAAUAUCACAAUACAACAAAGUUUAUAAAUAUCACAAAAACACAAGUACACGACCACCCUCACUAAAAGCAUAUUCUGAACUGUGGAGAAGGCCUUCCACACUGUUGUAGCCGAGAUCUACUGGAUAAUCAGCAAGAAGCCCCUGUCUUCGGAGGAGUCUGGUUUGGGGUCCAGUAACCUCAGAGAGGGACAAUCCAUUCAAGU
rnacentral:lncRNA from 7 species